GACGAACGCUGGCGGCGUGCUUAACACAUGCAAGUCGAACGGAAAGGCCCUGCUUUUGUGGGGUGCUCGAUUGGCGAACGGGUGAGUAACACGUGAGUAACCUGCCCUUGACUUUCGGAUAACUUCAGGAAACUGGGGCUAAUACCGGAUAGGAGCUCCUGCUGCAUGGUGGGGUUUGGAAAGUUUCGGCGGUUGGGGAUGGACUCGCUGAUUAUCAGCUUGUUUGUGGGGUAGUGGCUUACCAAGGUUUUGACGGGUAGCCGGCCUGAGAGGGUGACCAGGCACAUUGGGACUGAGGUACGGACCAGAAUCGUACGGGCGGCAGCAGUGGGGAACAUUGCACAACGGGCGGGAGUGUGAUGCAGAGACGCCGCGUGCGGGAUGACGGCCUUCGGGUUGUAAACAGCUUUCGAAUGUGACGAAGCGUGAGUGACGGUAAUGGGUAAAGAAGCCCCGGCUAACUACGUG
rnacentral:rRNA from 1 species